AUGUGCUAGGCGGGGAGCCAGCGGUGCCCUGUAACCCGGAAUCCGCUAUACCGGGGUCGAAUUCCCACCCGAGGCCCAAAGCGGUCUGUGAACCUGGCGCAAGUGGCGUUGAUGGCCGGGUCCCGCACAACCGAAGAUCGCUAAACCCCGUCAGGACCGGAAGGUAGCAGCGGUAGGCGGACCCUAGGUGUGUUGCGGGGAAACUCGGUCUGAGUUAACUGCGUUGGGACACCCUCUAGUAGAGGGUCAGAGGUGGGUGCACGU
rnacentral:SRP_RNA from 1 species